UAAGGUGGUUAUAGCGAGGGGGUUCCACCUCUUCCCAUUCCGAACAGAGAAGUUAAGCUCCUCAGCGCCGAUGGUACUGCGAUUGCGGGAGAGUAGGUCGCCGCCUGUU
rnacentral:rRNA from 1 species